rnacentral:rRNA from 1 species
GAUGAACGCUAGCGGCAGGCUUAAUACAUGCAAGUCGAGGGGCAGCAUGUCCCGACGCAAGUCGGGAUGAUGGCGACCGGCAAACGGGUGCGGAACACGUACAGAACCUUCCUUCGAGCGGGGAAUAGCCCAGAGAAAUUUGGAUUAAUACCCCAUAGCAUAUUGAUAAGGCAUCUUAUUAAUAUUAAAGAUUUAUCACUUGAAGAUGGCUGUGCGGCUGAUUAGGUAGUUGGCGGGGUAACGGCCCACCAAGCCUACGAUCAGUAACUGGUGUGAGAGCACGACCAGUCACACGGGCACUGAGACACGGGCCCGACUCCUACGGGAGGCAGCAGUAAGGAAUAUUGGUCAAUGGACGCAAGUCUGAACCAGCCAU